rnacentral:rRNA from 1 species
GAUGAACGCUGGCGGCGUGCCUAAUACAUGCAAGUCGAGCGAACAGAUGAGGAGCUUGCUCCUCUGACGUUAGCGGCGGACGGGUGAGUAACACGUGGAUAACCUACCUAUAAGACUGGGAUAACUUCGGGAAACCGGAGCUAAUACCGGAUAAUAUAUUGAACCGCAUGGUUCAAUAGUGAAAGACGGUUUUGCUGUCACUUAUAGAUGGAUCCGCGCCGCAUUAGCUAGUUGGUAAGGUAACGGCUUACCAAGGCAACGAUGCGUAGCCGACCUGAGAGGGUGAUCGGCCACACUGGAACUGAGACACGGUCCAGACUCCUACGGGAGGCAGCAGUAGGGAAUCUUCCGCAAUGGGCGAAAGCCUGACGGAGCAACGCCGCGUGAGUGAUGAAGGUCUUCGGAUCGUAAAACUCCGUUAUUAGGGAAGAACAAAUGUGUAAGUAACUAUGCACGUCUUGACGGUACCUAAUCAGAAAGCCACGGCUAACUACGU